AGUAGUUUGAUCAUGGCUCGAGGACGAACGCUGGCGGCGUGCUUAACACAUGCAAGUCGAACGGAACCUUCGGGUUUAGUGGCGAACGGGUGAGUAAAGCGCAGGUAAUCUGCCGCAAAGUCGGGGACAACGUCCCGAAAGGGACGCUAAUACCGGAUGUUGUAGUGGAGUCGCAUGACUUUGUUACUAAAGAUUUAUCGCUUUGCGAGGAGCCUGCGUCCGAUUAGGUAGUUGGUGUAGUAAAGGUGCACCAAGCCGACGAUCGGUAGCCGGUCUGAGAGGAUGAACGGCAACAAUGGAACUGAGACACGGUCCAUACUCC
rnacentral:rRNA from 1 species